rnacentral:lncRNA from 1 species
GAAUCUAUUUGGUCAAACCACAGUCAUUCAGCAACAGAAUUCACUCAAAGUCAAUUUUGGCUUUCUGAAUGGAACUUGGAAGAUGGGAUACAGUGCACAUGUGUGGUGGAAACAGGAGGGAGGAACAUAUCAAGAACUAUUCAACAUCAUAUGCCAGGCUCCGGUAACAACGCAUGUUCCAUUCUUGUUUAUGGGAUCUCCUUUGCAUCACUUCUCAUAAUAGCAGGAGGGGUGGCGCUGGGUAUACGCCACUGUAAGUAUGUACACGAUUCACAGAAUCUAUAGGGAUCUAGAAUCUAAUUAUAAUAAUUAACACUCAAACAAGUGACAGUCAAAAAUGUCCAUGUAGUCUGUAUCUGAAGUGGUAUUCCAGUUCAAAUGUAUAUCUAUGAGAGUGGGUAUAAUUGCAUAAAAUAAGAAAAAAGCUUUAAAGCUGGAAGAGUAACAUGAUAUGCGCUUUAACAGUUAUCUCCUAUUCUCAAGCUUAAAGUUUUUUAGAUAAAGUACAUAUUUUCGGAACUCUUAUCCGUCUAACAGAUGUGAACUGUGAACUCAUUUCACAGGGCAAAGGCGCAGUAAGAACAUUCACAAAAUAGACCACAGACGGGAAUCCAGUAAGUGUGUUUGUACACAUUAAAUAUUCACAGCCUAAUCUUCUUAACUCACACCCAGUUCAUAGAGCGGGUUCUCCAUUGUUGAUUAAUUUGGAUGUUUAGAGGAUUUUGUGAAACCUGAAAAAUUGCCAUGGUAACAUGCAGCACAUUUCAAGUUAUAUGUGUAAGUACUGUAAAUCCACAUGAUUGUCUUUUCCCAGGUAAACUUGGAACAGGUACCCUGAAUGGACCAGUUUAGAAAGUGCGUAAUAGAAACAUCAGGGAUUUAAUAGUAAACAUUAAUUGACUUGUCAUGUGAAGCUAAACAUUUUUCAUUUUUCAAAUUUUCAUCAAUUUCAUGAACAAUUGACAACUUGUGCUUUUUUUAUGUGAUGUGAUCUUAUUCUCAGAGAGUGCAGUAUUUCAGUCUGGAAAACAUGGACGAAUUUGAAAGGAUGAUGUGGCAGAAAACAAAAUAGUUGAAAUUACCUGUUUAUAUUAGAUGUUCAUACGUUUAUUUAUUUCCACAAUGACAUGUUUACUGAAACUGCUUAAUUGUGCAUUUCUAAAUAUUUUCCACAUAUAAUUAAUUGCAUGUUAGAAAUAUAUGCGCAUUUGCGUGUUGUGUUUUGGCUUCAAUGGCUUACUUACUCUGCCCAAUGACAAUAAAGCUGAUCCUGCUCUGGUAUUUUCCCA